ensembl:lncRNA
UUUUCAGAGGUGGAGAAGUGAUCCACUUUAUUUGAUUGGUCUGAAUUCUUGUAAUAGACUACCAAGAGGCAUUGUGCGAUACGAACAUUGCAUUUCAACAUCAUAGGAUACAUGGGUUAUUUCAAGUCUCAAUUUCAGAAAGUCACCACUGCGUGUUUGAUUGUGAGCUGAAAAGACGCUUCAAUUUAGUUUCGGCUUCAUUUUCAUUUUUUUGUCUUUUUAAGAUUCAAGUUUGUAAACUUUAUUUUCGUCAUUGCCAUUGUAAACACAUAACACCCCGUCAAUACGGGAGGAAAUACAUUGAUGUGGAAAAUCAUAUAAGGGGGGGGGGCUAGAAUUGAAAAUCAUGACGAGAACAAAAAAAGGAUCAAGUUUAGAGCAGAUUGGUUGUCUAUAAUAUAACACGGUAGGAUUUCACAUAUUUGACAAAAAAAGAGGCUUAACCAGAAAGGAGCGUAACUGCCAUUAUAAAUUAUGACCUAGCGUUAAUACUUGAAAGCUUCAUGCUUGUGGAUGGGGGGGUUUAAAAUGCUAUCAACCCAGGAUCCAGAGAAGAGAUUAAGGUGACAAGGGUAUUAAAAAUGACAACGACAGCAACUCCCGGAAAAAAAAGUUUAAUAAAAGAAGGGACCAUACACUAAUCGAGACCGUGAAGCAAGUUUCCUACUGGAGAAAAAGAAAGAUAUGAAGCACCAGCUACUUAUAGAGAAGGCCGGAAGUCCAAAUAUCCGUCUCUCUAGCGAGCCGCGUAGGGAUAUUUAAAGCACACCUCAGUAAGCUCCUGUGGCGGAGGCUAAAUAAGUUACACAACAGGUAGUAUGGCCUUUUGUUGACAAAAAGCCCCAAUGCAAAACAAAAAAGUGCAACGGUGCAGCGACCUUUUUUCACGUUUGGUUAGUUUAAUUUUUUUGUCCAACGGAAAGAUAAUACCGAGUUCAGUUUCAGAUGACUGUCUUGACAGUAUAAAAAAAAGGGGGGACUACAUAAAAGAAAAGGAACGUACAAAUAUCAAUAAACACCAAUGUAUAUCUCUGAGAAAAUUUAUUAAAGCUGCCUUGUUUUUCAAGCCGCCAGGGAUGGCAUACCCUCUCACGAAGGAAAAAAGAAAAGAAAAAUAGAUUUCUUCUCUUGCACUAUUUUCACGUUGACUACGUUUCAGAGAGCAUCCAAUUUGUGCAAUAGUGGGAGACUUUACUGCUUCAUGUUAUAAAAAAACCCAAAACAUAGACGUCAGCUCACGUUCAUAAUUCAGAUCAAUGCAGGGCCCAAGAAGUUGUCUUCAAGAAUAUCACUGUCGGCAAUAUUAAGCUUAUCAUUGACUUUCACUUUUCAUACUCUUGACACCAGUGUUUCUAACUCGCACCAAAGAUAGUUUCCCUGACUGCAAAGUGGGUAACACAAGUUGACUUUACAGGUCGGUUCUUUCAAUGAAUUGUCCCAGAUGUUUCAGUGAAAUGUAAGUGUGUCCGGUGUGUAUCUGUAUGUUUCACUAAUGUACAAGAUGUUGAGAAUCUGGCGGUUUUUGGUGGGCAGGGGGCCAGCGCGUCUCUGUGCUCCACACGCACGAUCAAGUAUAUCCCUCAGGUCCACCUCUCCCUCGAUGCAUCACAAGAGGAAACGCGUUGUGUGUGUGUAUGUGUUAAUGUGUGUCUGUAUGUGUGUGUGUGUGUGUGUGUGUGUGAGAAGAGGGGGUGGAAGAUGUUUCAAGAGGGAGACCGUCUGUGAUACCAAAAAGACUGCGAUGCUCCUCCUCCUUCUCCUCUUCCCCAUUUUAAAGUGGAUCAAUUUUAAAAAGCAACAUUAAAAUAAGAAAUCAAGUUACGAAAAAACACUGCAAAAAGCUUAUUUACAUACAAUGAUUUUCUCAAAAGACAAGGUGUAUCUUUACAGAAAUCAAACAAAAAAUUCAGAAAUUGUCUCUUGUGUCAUUUCCUUUUUCUCCAUUUUAAUUUUUUUUGUUUUUACAUAAGUUCUUCAUCUUUAUUUUGUUACUCAUAAAAUCCUCUUAGUUACCCCCUACUCCCCAUCAUCCCCCCCUCCUCCUCUUCCUGGCUUUGCCAGCGCUCACAGAAAAAAAACAGUCUGUCCUGAAAAGACCUGGCCGGGUAACGAGCCACAGCUGCUAUUCCUGACAGCUGUCACCAGGGGGCGCCAUCGGACCCAGAAAAAAAUAAACAACAUCGGAUGCCAUCCCCUUGCGGUCAGUGGCCGCACUCACCAGUGAGUGAGGCCAGAUCUAGAGAGUGGAGGUGAGGGGAAGGUGGGCAGGAUAAGCUCUCGCUCUAUCUCUCUCUCUCUCUCGCUCCCUCCCCGGUUCCACUGGGUUUCCUGGGCGUUUCAGUUGGGGAGAGGGGGGGGGGUGGGCGGUUGGAGGCCCGCUCAGUCGUCGCUGUCCGACAGCGUCUCGUACUGCUCUGACAGCAGAGGCUCCCGCUCCCACACCCUCUGCUGCUGCUGCUGCUGCUGCUGUUGCGCCGUGGGGCCAGCAGGGGGCGGUGGAGCCAGCUGCUGCUGCUGCUGGCUCUGGAUGGCCGGAGAGGCGAUGGAGGUGGGCGGCAUGCGCAUGGUCAGUGGGUUGUAGGGGAACUGCAUGGAGCCUGGAGCAGAGCAGGAAGAGAGGAGUUCAUUUUGUUAACAUUGUUGUAUUUUUUGUGAGCUAGAGUGAGAGUGAGAUAGAGAGGCCGGUAUGGGAGAGAGAGUGGAGGACAUGCAGCAAAUGAGCCCGGUGAAUGGCGACCGCCGUCCCUAGUGUUUAGCGCUCUGCACAGCCACCCCAGACGGCCAGCAGGGAAUACGUCUAAAUGCAUGUACGUCCUUAUUUGACACUUUCGUAUGGUUAAACAUGACUAUAAAUCAUUAUUACAACGUUUAUAGGUCAUAAAAAUCGAAAAAGCAUGAUAGGUGUCUCCUACCUGUGGACGAGGGCCGGUCCUCCCAGGGCCAGCCGGCGGCGGCCUGGCGGGUGUAGUCGCCCUCGGAGUGGACGGAGGACACGGAGGAUGGCCGCUCCGCCCCAGCGUAGCCCUGGCCUAGGUUGGGCGACUUGGACUUCCGGCUCGCCGCCUUGCUCUGCGAUUUCUGCUUACCUGUGUGGUCGGGGCACGGAGAGCAGCGUUCAGCAGAGCAGAGCGCAGCUGGCUCCAAAGCUGGUGCGUCGCCAAUAAACGUCCACAACCCCCCAAACAAUAGUUCCGCUAAACAAUCCUUAAGCAGGUUGGCUUGUACCCAUAUUUCAAAUUAAAAGAAAAUGCUGAGAACAGUAAAUAUAUAAUGAUAUAUUUAAAUUAUCCAAAACACUCUUACUCUUAUCAAUCUUAAACUAUUCUAAUGAACUUAAAUUAUGUGACCGUCUCUGAAGGCAGCUACAGUUAGCAACCUGACUACUACAAACUAUCAUUUGGCCCCUCAAAGGAGAUUCAUGAUGGAAGUUGUGUGUCAGAUUGUAUCUUUUGACCUGCCAAUAUGGGAGCAUCUCCCAGCCAUGCGGUUAAUAUUAUUAAUAUAGGAUCCAGGAUUAUUUUACUGCCAAAUGUGUGAAUCUAUCCAGCAUUGGCUGGUGUGUGCUCCGGGAGCCUGUGUGAGUUUGCGUCAGAGAGAGAUAGGCGUUGCCCCCCUCACCUAUGCUAGGUGAGCGAUUAGCAUCCUGGCGGCCCUCGCUGUUGGCCGGCUGUGAGCCGGGCCCCCCCUGGUGGUCCUGGUCCGGCCGGUCCUCCAGGUUGCCCAUCAGGGCCUUGCGGAUGAUGUCCUCCAGACCCAGGUUGUUAGCCGGGUCGCUGAACGAGUGGUUCCGGGCGUUGAUGCUGCCUGCAGGGCACCAGGGUAGCCACACAGAGAGAGAGAGAGAGCAUGAGGCAAGCCAGCUCCUCUAGUGGUUCAGGUGUUCCUAAUCUCUAGCCGUCCUACUAGGUUAAUCAGAACUACGGGGGGGAGACGGCACAGAGCUCGGGACCCGGAAUCCAGAAAAAGGUUUACUCUACCAAAGACGAAGCGAUAUGCGCGAAUGGACGAUGCUGAUUCUAACAACUGUAUUUCUACAGUGGACAGUCUAGGUGGUGUUGAUUUGAAACCUUUACAGACACUUUCUCACUGUUCACAAGUGCUGGUCGACUUUGUGUUCACCAUUACUAUCCGAUGACACGCCUACAGAUCCCCGUUAUUUACCUGAGCUGGUGACCGCAGGCAGGUUGAAGAUCUCGGUGCCUGGCUGUGCGUUUCCUGUAAGACAAAUUGUAGGAAGGAUUGAUAAAGACGCAUCAAUAAAUCACGAUUUUGUAUGAGUAAAUGCGUAAAGGUAUGUGUAUGUGUGUGCGUCAGGGAUGGAAAUUAACUUUUUUGCCCACCAGCCACUGUGGCAGGUAGAUUAAAAAAUUUUACCAGCCACUCAACUUUUUUACCAGCCACUUUUUAUACUCUAUAUAUAUUUUUAAUAAAUGCGGACAUUUUGAACAAUAUAAUAGUAACAAUAGAUAAGAAAAGUGUUUUUCAUGCCAUCUUUUAUUCCAUCAGAAGUGAUUUUUACUGUAAGUAGGUUCUACCAAGGAACUGAGUUGAAAACGUUACUCUUACCGAUAAACAAUACACAGGUAUCUGCCAUGUUAAGUCAUGUUUAUUUCAAAGGUGUUACGAUGACAAGUUUGGGGAUAAUUCAUCUAUACAAAGUAUUUAAUAAAAAACAAAUUUACAUAUUAACAAUAAAACAACAUGCAUGGCUACAGCAUCAUAAGUCAAUUUGGUUUUUUAUAUUUACAUGUGACUGCAUACAAAUUUGUCGCAGACAUGGUAACUAACGUAUGAUAGUAAGCAUUAUUGGCCCUUAACACUAAUAUUCAGAAAAAAACACUGCCUCAAAAGGCUAUUGGCUUAAGCAAUACAAGUAGAGGCAGAUACUUGAACUUUAUACCCUGAACUUUUAAUCAUUGCAAACGUGCAAAAACUAAUAUUUAUGUGGCAUUCAGUCCAAUGCUGAAAAUAUAUCUGUGGCAUUCAGUAGGCCAAUGCUGUGGUUAAGUGUGUAAAGUAUGACCAAGUGUUUCUUUCUGUUCAAUAGUCUACAACUUUAUCAAUCCCCUUUAGGAUAAAUGUGUUAAUGUUUGUCCCUAUAAAACAAUAAUGGUAAAAAAAUAAAUACAAAACACGACGGUAACUAGAGUAGUGAAACCGUCCAAUCUGAAGGCUCUACUUAACCACUCCCCCUACUCACUUCCACCAAUGCAAAGCAAACAGAACUGAGUAGGGGAAGGCGUAGCCUAACUAGUUUGUGAACGACCCAGAGAAAUGCAACGAAAAUUCAAUGUGAACAUGUAUGAGGCUUUAAUAAAAUCCCGGACAAUUUUGAAAUUCAGCAAAACAUUUUUUAAAAGUGUCUCAAAAAGGGGGCAUGUCCGGGCAAACAAGGACAUAUGGUUAGGCCUACCCUACGUACGGGAAACACAUUUGAUUCCUACCUAACACGUAACACUGUUAAAUAGCGGCCAAAUUGGUGGGCGCUAUCCUGGUAAUUUCUCUGCGUGAGAAAUACUAUGUGUGGCGUGUGAUCGUGUGCACUGUGCAUGGGUUGAAUUCAUGGGUUGAAUUCAUGGGGCAAGCCCCAGGAAUCUCCCACUUCCGGCUCCCAUGAAAGAGAACCAAACUAAUUCACAAAAUAGCGUUCAUGCAAAUCUAGCAUUAAAGGUUCAUUCAAGGAAGUUCUCUCCAGUCAAGCUGAAAGUUGUUCGCUAGUAGUAGUGCUUUAAUUGGCAGAGAAUUCUGAGAAAUCUGAAAUGCUGACUAAAGUCUCAGAAUUCUGACACUGCAAAUUAUUGCGCUCUUCCAUACCGCUCUAGAUUCCCCCACCCCCACACAGAUCUUUUCGAUGCGACACACCCAUCGUCUUCUUCCGAAUUGCGUGUGUCCCACGCCGAAUGCGUGAGACUUGAGAGCUGUUAGCUACCGGUAUAUUAUCCCGGAUGUUGACAGUCGCAGUUCAGCAGGAGAGGCGUAGAAGAAGAAGGGGGCCAGAUGUUCACAGUAAUGGUUGUGGAACUGUGCAAUUCAAUACGAAUGUAUUGAAUAUGCAAAUUUGAUCGGACCUGACUGGAAAGUAUUACCCGACACAGUGGCGGGUGAAGUGACACAAUUCAAACCAUACAAAUCCAACCGCAAAUGGCGUGUGGCGGGUGUUCAUUUCCAUCCCUGGUGUGCGUGCAUAUUAAUGCAAAACAAAAAGAAGGCACACUUACCAACAUCAGAAUCCCCGACACCAGAAGAGUUCAAUUUACGGAAGAUCUCUUGCUUCUUGGACUUCACCAUGGGAGAGGUGUUCUCCAGCUUGGUGAAGAAGGAAGGCAAGUAGGACAUGUUCCCCGGAGAGCGGGAGUCACUCCUGGAACCAGAGGGAAGGCACCGAGGUGUCAAUGAUGAAUGGGUGUACAUGGGAGUCGAUGAUGAGUGAGUGAGUGAGUGAGUGAGUGAGUGAGUGAGUGAGUGAGUGAGUGAGUGAGUGACUGGUGCAGCCUAUAACAAUUUAAGAGUUUAAAUUCACAUUUGUAGUUAAACCUAAAAGUGUGAGUUGUUAUUUAUAAAUAUAUUUUCAUGGGAUUUCUCCUUGUGGGAUCUAUCCUUUAUACUGUUAAGAUUUCUUACCAACAGCAGACCGCGGAUCAAUUGAUUCAUUUCAUCGCUAGGGUUUCAUCGUAGUCUCUUUCACUACGAGCCCGCUCUUGGUCCCCUGAAUCCUCCCUACCUGAUCUCCGGGUUGUCGUUCUGCCUCCUCUGGGGGGCCGGAGGGCCAGCCACCUCCUGCUUGUCCUGGUAGCUCUGAGGCGGGGAGAUGGGCUCAUAGUUCUCCAUCUGCCGGCCGCGCUCCGGAGACUUCCCGGGUCUGGCAGGGAGAGCAGAGCAAAACACAACACAACACAGCGAGUUGGAUCAAUGCACCAGCCGGGACACAAAGACAACGAGGGGUUCCGGUGUUCGCUCCAACAGGGUGGCCGAGGGGGGGGGGUACCUGGCUCUGGGCUUGUCGGGAGCGUUUUCCGGGGACACCCUGUUGGAGGGCCUCUGGUGGUGGGGGGCCUGGUUCUCUGGACUGUAGCGGCUGGGGGCUUUGACCCGGCUGGAGGUGGACACCAGGGGCGCCGAGCUCUGGAAUGUGCUGGAGGCAGAGGAGGCCGGAGGGUCCUGGUUCCGGGCAAAGUCCUGGGUGAUGAUGUGCUGUGGGAACAAUCGAGAUGUGGUCCGCCAGGGUCAUGACGCGGUGGGUCUUUGGGACCUGAGCGUAGCUGUCGCCCUGGGAGGAGGGUGGCUGCUGGGGUGCCGCGUGGGGGGGCUCCCCCUGCUGUCGGUAGCGGCUCAUGUCGAAGGGCCGCAUGCCCGCCGCGGGGGCUAGCCCAGACAUGGAGCGCUGGUGGACUGGAGGGCGAGGCGGAGGGCGGGAGGGGGGCGGAGAGAGAAGGGGUUAAGGAGACGGGAGUAGUUAAGGAGACAGGAAACGCCUCUGGCACUAGGGCCUGGUGAUGGGGCUAACAUGGAAGAAGGGUGACUUGCUGUUCUCUUGACGGCUUAGUUUGUUGACGGAUUUAGAGUGAAGCCCAUCUCUGCUUAAGGCUAAGUUUUGAUACGACUUAAGAGCUGAAUCCGUUUUCUGAUCAAAUUGACAACACGGUUCGAUAUUUGACGCAUUCGUCGGUCCUCACCGGGUGGCUGCGGCUGCCUCUCCUCGGGCUUGUCUUGCUGCGGCUGCACCGGGGAGCUGGCGGGGCUGAUGACCUCGAUGGUGCCUCCGCUGGGGUUGUCAUAGCGGUUGGAUGCCACUGCAUAAUAAUUAGAGAUAAAAAGGUUAGCCUGUGAUGCAUGGAAACCGGUAGUACUGUACCGAGCUCCGUAACACUGUUGAUCUCUAUUGUCAUCAGUUUGGCUUACACAAUCCACAUUUUUGGUUGCUGCAUUGGGGAACUUUAUACUCAGUACAAACAAAGAAAGGGAUAAUCUCUGAGAUAGGAUUACGUGCUGUUGCUUUGUCGAAAAUAUUUCACAUUUUCCAGUGUUACUUCAGGGGGGGUCGUCAUGUGAUUGCAAAUGGCUCCACUGUCUCCAAGAGAGAGAGAGAGAGAGAGAGAGAGAGAGAGAGAGAGAGAGAGAGAGAGAGAGAGAGAGAGAGAGAGAGAGAGAGAGAGAGAGAGAGAGAGAGAGAGAGAGAGAGAGAGAGAGAA